rnacentral:rRNA from 1 species
CAGCAGCCACGGUAAUACGUAGGGCGCAAGCGUUGUCCGGAAUUAUUGGGCGUAAAGAGCUCGUAGGCGGUCUGUCGCGUCUGGUGUGAAAUCCCGAGGCUCAACCUCGGGCUUGCAUCGGGUACGGGCAGACUAGAGUGCGGUAGGGGAGACUGGAAUUCCUGGUGUAGCGGUGGAAUGCGCAGAUAUCAGGAGGAACACCGAUGGCGAAGGCAGGUCUCUGGGCCGCAACUGACGCUGAGGUACGAAAGCAUGGGGAGCAAACAGGAUUAGAUACCCGUGUAGUCCCUGUCUCUUAUAC